UACGUAGGUGGCAAGCGUUGUCCGGAUUUAUUGGGUUUAAAGGGUGCGUAGGCGGCAUUUUAAGUCAGUGGUGAAAUACUUCAGCUUAACUGGAGAGGUGCCAUUGAUACUGGGAUGCUUGAGUACUGAUGAGGUAGGCGGAAUGGACGGUGUAGCGGUGAAAUGCUUAGAUAUCGUCCAGAACACCGAUAGCGAAGGCAGCUUACUAAGGAGUAAACUGACGGCUGAGGCACGAAAGUGUGGGGAUCAAACAGG
rnacentral:rRNA from 1 species